GACGAACGCUGGCGGCGUGCUUAACACAUGCAAGUCGAACGGAAAGGCCCUGCUUUUGUGGGGUGCUCGAGUGGCGAACGGGUGAGUAACACGUGAGUAACCUGCCCUUGACUUUGGGAUAACUUCAGGAAACUGGGGCUAAUACCGGAUAGGAGCUCCUGCUGCAUGGUGGGGGUUGGAAAGUUUCGGCGGUUGGGGAUGGACUCGCGGCUUAUCAGCUUGUUGGUGGGGUAGUGGCUUACCAAGGCUUUGACGGGUAGCCGGCCUGAGAGGGUGACCGGCCACAUUGGGACUGAGAUACGGCCCAGACUCCUACGGGGGGCAGCAGUGGAGAAUAUUGCACAAUGGGCGGAAGCCUGAUGCAGCAACGCCGCGUGCGGGAUGACGGCCUUCGGGUUGUAAACCGCUUUCGCCUGUGACGAAGCGUGAGUGACGGUAAUGGGUAAAGAAGCACCGGCUAACUACGUG
rnacentral:rRNA from 1 species